rnacentral:rRNA from 1 species
UCGGAUUGUAGUCUGCAACCCGGCUACAUGAAGCUGGAAUCGCUAGUAAUCGCGGAUCAGAAUGCCGCGGUGAAUACGUUCCCGGGUCUUGUACACACCGCCCGUCACACCAUGGGAGUCGGAAAUGCCCGAAGUCAGUGACCUAACCGAAAGGAAGGAGCUGCCGAAGGUGGAGCCGGUAACUGGGGUGAAGUCGUAACAAGGUAUC